rnacentral:lncRNA from 1 species
GAAGAACAAAGGAAUGGAGCCCAGAUGCACCAGAAUGGGGACCUGGUGGAAGAACUGAAAAAGCUGGGGAUCCGCUCCACCCUUUUAGAUGAAAAAAGAAAUAUGGAUGUGCCCAUAGCACACAUUACUCAGCUUUGAAACUGGCAGAUAAGGCUGUUGCCUUACAGAAGGGCAGAGAAACAUGAAGGAAUCAACCCAAGUCCAUGAGUGACUGAAUGAGUUGAGUAGGCCACCUAUGUGCUCUGGACUGUCAAGUGGAGAGAAACUUGACAAGUGGUAUCCAGGGGUAUGAUCUGCAACAGAGCUGCUC